AGUGAACGCUGGCGGUAGGCCUAACACAUGCAAGUCGAACGGCAGCACAGUAAGAGCUUGCUCUUACGGGUGGCGAGUGGCGGACGGGUGAGGCAUACAUCGGAAUCUACUUUUUCGUGGGGGAUAACGUAGGGAAACUUACGUUAAUACCGCAUACGACCUACGGGUGAAAGCAGGGGAUCUUCGGACCUUGCGCGAUUGAAUGAGCCGAUGUCGGAUUAGCUAGUUGGCGGGGUAAAGGCCCACCAAGGCGACGAUCCGUAGCUGGUCUGAGAGGAUGAUCAGCCACACUGGAACUGAGACACGGUCCAGACUCCUACGGGAGGCAGCAGUGGGGAAUAUUGGACAAUGGGCGCAAGCCUGAUCCAGCCAUGCCGCGUGGGUGAAGAAGGUCUUCGGGUUGUAAAGCCCUUUUGUUGGGAAAGAAAAGCAGCAGGUUAAUACCCCGCUGUUCUGACGGUACCCAAAGAAUAAGCACCGGCUAACUUCGUG
rnacentral:rRNA from 1 species